GGGUUACUGCGAAGGGGGGACGGAGAAGGCUAUGUCGGCCGGGCGACGGUUGUCCCGGUUUAAGCGUGUAGGCUGACUUUCCAGGCAAAUCCGGAAGGUUAAGGCUGAGGCGUGAUGACGAGGCACCACGGUGCUGAAGUGACAAAUGCCCUGCUUCCAGGAAAAGCCUCUAAGCAUCAGGUAACAUUAAAUCGUACCCCAAACCGACACAGGUGGUCAGGUAGAGAAUACCAAGGCGCUUGAGAGAACUCGGGUGAAGGAACUAGGCAAAAUGGUGCCGUAACUUCGGGAGAAGGCACGCUGACAUGUAGGUGAAGCCCCUGCGGGUGGAGCUGAAGUCAGUCGAAGAUACCAGCUGGCUGCAACUGUUUAUUAAAAACACAGCACUGUGCAAACACGAAAGUGGACGUAUACGGUGUGACGCCUGCCCGGUGCCGGAAGGUUAAUUGAUGGGGUUAUCGCAAGAGAAGCUCCUGAUCGAAGCCCCGGUAAACGGCGGCCGUAACUAUAACGGUCCUAAGGUAGCGAAAUUCCUUGUCGGGUAAGUUCCGACCUGCACGAAUGGCGUAAUGAUGGCCAGGCUGUCUCCACCCGAGACUCAGUGAAAUUGAACUCGCUGUGAAGAUGCAGUGUACCCGCGGCAAGACGGAAAGACCCCGUGAACCUUUACUACAGCUUGACACUGAACAUUGAGCCUUGAUGUGUAGGAUAGGUGGGAGGCUUUGAAGCGUGGACGCCAGUCUGCGUGGAGCCGACCUUGAAAUACCACCCUUUAAUGUUUGAUGUUCUAACCUGGCGCCGUGAUCCGGCGUGGGGACAGUGUCUGGUGGGUAGUUUGACUGGGGCGGUCUCCUCCCAAAGUGUAACGGAGGAGCACGAAGGUCAGCUAAUCCUGGUCGGACAUCAGGAGGUUAGUGCAAUGGCAUAAGCUGGCUUGACUGCGAGAGUGACGGCUCGAGCAGGUGCGAAAGCAGGUCAUAGUGAUCCGGUGGUUCUGUAUGGAAGGGCCAUCGCUCAACGGAUAAAAGGUACUCCGGGGAUAACAGGCUGAUACCGCCCAAGAGUUCAUAUCGACGGCGGUGUUUGGCACCUCGAUGUCGGCUCAUCACAUCCUGGGGCUGAAGUAGGUCCCAAGGGUAUGGCUGUUCGCCAUUUAAAGUGGUACGCGAGCUGGGUUUAGAACGUCGUGAGACAGUUCGGUCCCUAUCUGCCGUGGGCGCUGGAGAAUUGAGGGGGGCUGCUCCCAGUACGAGAGGACCGGAGUGGACGCAUCACUGGUGUUCGGGUUGUCAUGCCAAUGGCACUGCCCGGUAGCUAAAUGCGGAAGAGAUAAGUGCUGAAAGCAUCUAAGCACGAAACUUGCCCCGAGAUGAGUUCUCCCUGAGACUGUAAGUCUCCUGAAGGAACGUUGAAGACGACGACGUUGAUAGGCCGGGUGUGUAAGCGCAGCGAUGCGUUGAGCUAACCGGUACUAAUGAACCGUGAGGCUUAACCUU
rnacentral:rRNA from 1 species